rnacentral:lncRNA from 1 species
AUGUAUAACAUUGAGCGUUUUUCAGAACAGAAUCACUUCCCCGUUCAGAACCUCCCCGUCGGAUCCUCCAAAGGAGAUCGUUCUUCAGAACACAGUCACUUUUCCAUUGGAUCCUCUAAAGGAAUUGAUGAUCAUGCUUCAUCUAUAUCACUGGCCCAACUUUCAAAGUCUGAAGGAGACGUACACUUGCUGCUGCUUACACUCGUACGUUACACACACACACACACACACACACUCGUUCGUUACACACACACACACACACACACACACACUCGUUCGUUACACACACACACUCAUACGUUACACACACACACACUCGUCCCCGACCACAUAUCCUGAAGAAUGAAGUGUUCGCCUCGUUUUUUUCCCUUCUCUCUCUAAAUGAAGACUCAACGGGUUGUCUUUGUUUGUUUUGCUCAUACGUGACCUUUCACCCCUAGGACACUAAUUUAUAAACAAACCUGUUAUCAAUCUUGCUUUCAAAUCUUAUUGAAGCCCAUGUAACAACUUUUAAAAAACAUUUCAACAAUCCUCUCUACUGCACCAUGCUUUGUCAGCACACUGUGUUUUUGAAGAGAUUUACUUCAUAUAUAUAUACACAUUUAGCAGAUGUAAUUUAUCCUCAAAUAUGUAGUUUGCUGAAGUAAAACACAAACCUACAGUGUGAACCACGGACGUGAUUCUUGGUUGAACCCUUCUGUUGUUGUGAUGGAACUGAUUUUGUUAUUGUUGGUUAUAUAUAUUUAUUUAUACCUUGUGACGUUCAACUAGAGAACAGCAUUUACUACUUUUAAUGGUGUUAACAGGCUGUGAUGACAGUGAGCUGUUAAAAGGACUGUGUUUUGAUUGGGUAGCUGGAAUGUGGGAGUAUGAAUGUUUUAUCCAAUAAAACGUCUCUUGGACCCCUGACCGUUUAUGCGUGUAGCUGUGAUUGGGUAGCUGGAAUGUGGGAGUGUGAAUGUUUUAUCCAAUAAAACGUCUCUUAGACCCCUGACCGUUUAUGCGUGUAGCUGUGAUUGGGUAGCUGGAAUGUGGGAGUAUGAAUGUUUUAUCCAAUAAAACGUCUCUUGGACCCCUGACCGUUUAUGCGUGUAGCUGUGAUUGGGUAGCUGGAAUGUGGGAGUAUGAAUGUUUUAUCCAAUAAAACGUCUCUUAGACCCCUGACCGUUUAUGCGUGUAGCUGUGAUUGGGUAGCUGGAAUGUGGGAGUGUGAAUGUUUUAUCCAAUAAAACGUCUCUUAGACCCCUGACCGUUUAUGCGUGUAGCUGUGAUUGGGUAGCUGGAAUGUGGGAGUAUGAAUGUUUAAUUAAAUGUGUUGUUUUAUCCAAUAAAACGUCUCUUAGACGAAGGAUAAUAUCUGUUUUCUCCCCCAGUGGAUUUACACUUCCUGUCCUUUUCUAAAAUAAUUUUUUUAUUUAAAAUUUUAUUUAAAUGUAUUUUAAUUUAUUUUAUAGACUUUUUUAAAAAUAAAGUCGAUUCAAGUGAAUCUGGUAGAUUAGUAUUUUCUCGUGAGAAAUAAGGUGCGUCAGCAAUGUGUUUUCAGACCAGAGUCAAUCUAACAGACUGACUAGGUUAGACACAGAUCUAACAGACUGACUAGGUUAGACACAGAUCUAACAGACUGACUAGGUUAGACACAGAUCUAACAGACUGACUAGGUUAGACACAGAUCUAACAGACUGACUAGGUUAGACACAGAUCUAACAGACUGACUAGGUUAGACACAGAUCUAACAGACUGACUAGGUUAGACACAGAUCUAACAGACUGACUAGGUUAGACACAGAUCUAACAGACCGACUAGGUUAGACACAGAUCUAACAGACUGACUAGGUUAGACACAGAUCUAACAGACCGACUAGGUUAGACACAGAUUCAACAGGACCUAACAGACUGACUAGGUUAGACACAGAUCUAACAGACUGACUAGGUUAGACACAGAUCUAACAGACUGACUAGGUUAGACACAGAUUCAACAGGACCUAACAGACUGACUAGGUUAGACACAGAUCUAACAGACUGACUAGGUUAGACACAGAUCUAACAGACUGACUAGGUUAGACACAGAUCUAACAGACCGACUAGGUUAGACACAGAUUCAACAGGACCUAACAGACUGACUAGGUUAGACACAGAUCUAACAGACUGACUAGGUUAGACACAGAUCUAACAGACUGACUAGGUUAGACACAGAUCUAUCAGGACCUAACAGACCGAC